rnacentral:lncRNA from 1 species
GUCGACCAAAGUCAACUCUGUGCCUUCAAACUUGCUCGCUGAUUGAUCGGGAUCGGGAUUGGUUCCACGUUGCCGUUUUUAACGAUUCUUAUGAAACACCUACAAAUCAACCACAAACCAUUUCCAAAUUUACUAAACUCUAUAUAAACAACAUCCUUGCACAAUCUCAACGCCACACACUUCACUCACCGUAACCACCGAGAACCACCACCUCCCUGUUGAAAUCAAGUUCACCGGAGCUCUGACCGGAACCUCACCGGAGAAGACGUCUGCGUCCGGAACCUCACCCUGUUCGAAUUCUCGCCGAAGUCGCUACGUCGGAACUCACGACAUCCUUUUGUUUGGUAUACUUUCUUAAUUUUCUUGUUCCCUCGAUUUAGUCCACUAGUAGGGUAUACUAACUUUGAUUUUUAACACCGGAGGAGUCCGACGUCCUCGGAGAAGACAACCGGAGUUUCGCCGGAGUCCCAAGCCUUUCUGAUCCGAUAGCAAGUCACCGGAAACUCAAGCAAUCGUCGGAGCUUCGCCGGAGAACACGGAGACGUCGCCAGCUUUUCGUUUCGGUAUAGUGUUCUCGUUCCUUUGUUUUGCUCGUUUACUUUUCAGAUUAAAUACAAUAAAUUCUGACUUGAUAUUACAUACAAACGCCUGGAAAUAUGGGUCUUACCAUAACAGAUUACGUAUGGUUCUUUCUUUUAUAAUGAAGAAGAUGGCACCAAACUCUUAAGGUUAUCUUAAUAUAUAUAACUUUGCCUUUUCUUUGUAAAUGAAACUAACUGUUAAAAAGUUUUGCAAUGUAAAAUUAUUUAUUUUAAGAUUAUAUAAUUAUAUAUUUUAGUAUCACAACUAGAUUAGGAUACUACGACCAUAUAUAUGUUUUUUUUAAAAGGUUUUUUUUUCACAUCGAAUUAAGGAUAUUGAAGAUGACUGUUACAAGAGUUAUGGAAAUAAAAAAAAAAGUCAUUAGAUACGUGGUUCAUGACAUUAAAUUUUGAAUACAUUAUUAUUUUCUUAUUUAGGUUGUCACAAAUUUUGUGAAUUUUAAAGGUUAAUCAUGAAAUCAAAUUGUAAUAUGUAAUUAUUUUGUAAACCAUAAAACAUUAAGGGUUAUACUUAACCUACAAAUAAUAACGAGUUCGUUAUGUGUUAUUUCAUAUAUCUAGGAUAACCCAUCUCGUUUAUUCUCUUGGAAUUCUCCAUUUUUACUCGUGCGUUAUUACAAGAAAUCGCAACGCAAUCAAUGUGAGUAUACAUGACCCAUUUUCGUUUUACACUUUUGGGUGCAAUAUGUAUUACAUAUCAAACAUCACAACACAUUAAACAUUUUAUGCACACUCAUUCCAUAUUCUAUGUGACACACUUUAUUCAUGUUAGACAUGUUAUGCUACUGUAAACACCUAAUGACUAUGUGUUCAUUAACUUCGUACAAGCCUCCCCUAACAAUGGUAGCGCUAUAGGUUGAGAAACGCCCCUCCUGUUCUAUGAGCAGGUAUUGUUAGGUUUAACUAUGUCAACCUACUCAAACUCGUUUGGGUACACUUUAAUUGCGUUAAACUUUGGUUUGGGCACAUAGAGUAACAUCGUUUCGAGUAUAUACUGUUUACAUGAUAUUGUAUUUUACAUUUGGAUAUGAGUAAACAUUUUAAACACGUACUAUGCUAUGUAUGAAAACUUGUUGAUUGAUCAAGAUACAAGAAAACAAGCUAGGAUGGCUUAGAAACUCAUUCUAGAAAUAAACUAUUGCUUGAAUUUAUAUUUGAUUGUUUGAAACUUUGUAUUAUCCUUUAGAAUUUAAUAAAAUGAUUUAAUUUAUAUUGU